GGACUUAUAUGCCCCCCUCUUUUUCAGAACAGAAGGCAGACUGCGGAAAGGAACAGGGAAACAGAAAGAAGAAGGAGAUUAAGAUGUACUUUCCAGUGGUGGAUCUGCAUGUAAUUAACUGUUUCUGAACAAAAUGCUCUCACACAGUGGGGUCAUACUGUCAAGGAGGAGCUACUGCCAAUGCCUUUCCAUAUAGGCGGGAAAAACAGGAGAUUUAUCAGAGAUGUAGGAGUUGCUGAGGAGAAUGAUCUCAUGACUGUACUCCAGAAUAUUUCCAAAAGUGUUUUAGAUGAGAAGUAUGAAUCAUGCCUGUCUCCAAAGAAACAAAAGAUAUAUUGUGUUAAGAUCUUUUGAGCAAGAUAUUGAGAAAACCGUGGCUCAGAUUCUGAACAGAAUGGGAUGAACCAAGAACAAUGAUGGAUGAGCCCAAAGCUAUAAACAACUAUAGAGCUCAUCUCUGUGAACAUUGAUGUCUAACCAUUGGGAACAUGGAGGACAAGAACUGGAGGUAUGGCAAGAGCUUUUCAAGAAUACACUUCUUCUAUAUUUCAGCCACAAUGGAGAUCAGUUAUCUGGAAAUAAGACUGACUGAAGGUAUUCAUUUUAUUUAGCACCUACAUAUCCAAGUUGCUAGAGACUGAUCUUAAUUCUGGAAUCUUUGUUCUAGAAUUGCUAUCCAGAAAAUGCUUUGUAAUGUGUGCCCCCUAAAAUCUAACCUCAAGCCUUAAAUCUAGACCUUAACUGAAUCACUAGCCAUGUAAUUAAGCUUGCACUGUUCAAGAAUAAAUGUGGCAUUUCAUAUUA